CCCCCCCUCCCCCGCUGCUCCGACCUGGCUGCCCCGGAGUGGGCAGCCAGAUUGUUGGAAACACCCACAUCCUGGUUGGCUUGUUGCAACAAAACACGAUUGGCUGAACUUCAUUGUGUGGGCACAAAGCUGUUUUCAUCUGUUGUAUCGUCUAGGAUAUUUUAAGAGCUGAUCCAGGUGGUGAGCGAUGACUCUGGGGAUGAGCCAGAGAGUCAAGAUACCGAGGGUGCCAUGGGGCACAUGGGAAAAGAAGCCGGCAGCGUGGUGUUGGCGGCGGAUGGAGGUGCAGCUAAAGGUGACAGAAGGGGUGCCAAGCGAAAUCCGUGGAUCCCAGCAGAAGUGAAAGCUGUUGAACGUCACAUGAUUCGGUUCAUUCGCUCAUUCAAGGUGCCGGGCAAGAAUGACUGUGAUGCGUGCCUAAGGGCAGAACGACAAGCGCUGAAGGCUCGGAACUGGCUCUCGGUUAAGUUUUACAUUAAGAACCGAAUUACUGCUGAAAUGAGAAAGACCCUUUCCUGAAUAAAAUGUAUCUGC